AAGUCGAACGAACUUCCGUUAAUUGAUUAUGACGUACUUGUACUGAUUGAGAUUUUAACACGAAGUGAGUGGCGAACGGGUGAGUAACACGUGGGUAACCUGCCCAGAAGUAGGGGAUAACACCUGGAAACAGAUGCUAAUACCGUAUAACAGAGAAAACCGCAUGGUUUUCUUUUAAAAGAUGGCUCUGCUAUCACUUCUGGAUGGACCCGCGGCGUAUUAGCUAGUUGGUGAGGUAAAGGCUCACCAAGGCAGUGAUACGUAGCCGACCUGAGAGGGUAAUCGGCCACAUUGGGACUGAGACACGGCCCAGACUCCUACGGGAGGCAGCAGUAGGGAAUCUUCCACAAUGGACGCAAGUCUGAUGGAGCAACGCCGCGUGAGUGAAGAAGGGUUUCGGCUCGUAAAGCUCUGUUGUUAAAGAAGAACGUGGGUAAGAGUAACUGUUUACCCAGUGACGGUAUUUAACCAGAAAGCCACGGCUAACUACGUGCCAGCAGCCGCGGUAAUACGUAGGUGGCAAGCGUUAUCCGGAUUUAUUGGGCGUAAAGCGAGCGCAGGCGGUCUUUUAAGUCUAAUGUGAAAGCCUUCGGCUCAACCGAAGAAGUGCAUUGGAAACUGGGAGACUUGAGUGCAGAAGAGGACAGUGGAACUCCAUGUGUAGCGGUGAAAUGCGUAGAUAUAUGGAAGAACACCAGUGGCGAAGGCGGCUGUCUGGUCUGCAACUGACGCUGAGGCUCGAAAGCAUGGGUAGCGAACAGGAUUAGAUACCCUGGUAGUCCAUGCCGUAAACGAUGAUUACUAAGUGUUGGAGGGUUUCCGCCCUUCAGUGCUGCAGCUAACGCAUUAAGUAAUCCGCCUGGGGAGUACGACCGCAAGGUUGAAACUCAAAAGAAUUGACGGGGGCCCGCACAAGCGGUGGAGCAUGUGGUUUAAUUCGAAGCUACGCGAAGAACCUUACCAGGUCUUGACAUCUUCUGA
rnacentral:rRNA from 1 species